rnacentral:rRNA from 1 species
AUUGAACGCUGGCGGCAUGCUUUACACAUGCAAGUCGAACGGCAGCGCGGGCUUCGGCCUGGCGGCGAGUGGCGAACGGGUGAGUAAUACAUCGGAACGUGCCCAGUAGUGGGGGAUAGCUCGGCGAAAGCCGGAUUAAUACCGCAUACGACCUGAGGGUGAAAGCGGGGGAUCUUCGGACCUCGCGCUAUUGGAGCGGCCGAUGGCAGAUUAGCUAGUUGGUGGGGUAAAGGCCUACCAAGGCGACGAUCUGUAGCUGGUCUGAGAGGACGACCAGCCGCACUGGGACUGAGACACGGCCCAGACUCCUACGGGAGGCAGCAGUGGGGAAUUUUGGACAAUGGGCGAAAGCCUGAUCCAGCAAUGCCGCGUGUGUGAUGAAGGCCUUCGGGUUGUAAAGCACUUUUGGCGGGAACGAAAAGGACUGUGCCAAUACCACGGUUCGAUGACGGUACCCGCAGAAUAAGCACCGGCUAACUACGUG